GAAAGCGAUGCUAAUACCGGAUAAUAUCUUAAAAACCUCGGUUUUAAAGAUCAAAGGUGGCCUCUACAUGUAAGCUUCUGUUUGGGGAUGAGCCCGCGUACCAUUAGCUUGUUGGUAGGGUAAUGGCCUACCAAGGCUGCGAUGGUUAGCUGGUCUGAGAGGAUGAUCAGCCACACUGGAACUGACACACGGUCCAGACUCCUACGGGAGGCAGCAGUGAGGAAUUUUGCGCAAUGGGGGAAACCCUGACGCAGCAACGCCGCGUGAGUGAUGAAGGCUUUCGGGUCGUAAAGCUCUGUCAAGUGGGAAGAACCCACAUGGUGAUAAUACCGCCAUGUGUUGACGGUACCACUGAAGGAAGCACCGGCUAACUCCGUGCCAGCAGCCGCGGUAAUACGGGGGGUGCAAGCGUUAUUCGGAAUUACUGGGCGUAAAGAGCGCGUAGGCGGUCUCGUAAGUCGGGUGUGAAAGCCCGGGGCUCAACCCCGGAAGUGCAUCC
rnacentral:rRNA from 1 species